ensembl:lncRNA
AGAGCUUGUAUUGUGUUGAAAUAUGUGCGUGUGCCCUUCAUCGUGAACUUGAGUUAUUAAAUACGAUUGAAAUUCGGCGGCGGUGUGCGAUUGAGCCGGGAUUACACACUUCUCUCCGUUAUUCUGCUCUUUCCUCACACUUAAUGAGAACAGAAAGCUUUGUUGUGCUGAGAUCCUCUAUUCACAGGCAGCGCGUCUGUCGAACAGCUCCAGCCGUCGAGGAGGAAUGACAUCUAAUACCUGAGGGCACUUUCUUAUCUCCAACCUGUCAAAAACAGACACGGCCAUCAUUCAGAGAACGCAGCAGCCAAUGGCAAACACCUCUCCGUAUUUCCAUUUAUGGCGGUGAAUUUUGUAUUCAGAGCUGAGAAUGAUUCAUUCGGGUGUCUCAGAGCGGCUUAACCAGAAUAUUGACUGAAAGAAGCUCUUGAUUGUCUCCAGGACAGACGUGUCUCUUCAUGAAGAGUCUGUAAGUCUUGCCUUGAGAUCAGGUGUUGAAUGUUAACGUCAGUGUUGAGAUUAACAUUCUGCGUUCAGACAAAGAGAUGCAGAAACACAGACGAACUCUGAUAGAUACCUGAGCAACUGCCUAGCAACCAGCCAGAGAUAACCUAGCAACCACCUAGAAUGUCAGAGCACCAGAGCAACUGCCCAGUAACACCUUAGAAACCAACCAAAACACCCAAGCAACCA